GCAUCAUGAGUCCGCAUGUUCACAUGAUUAAAGGUAUUCCGGUAGACGAUGGGGAUGCGUUCCAUUAGAUAGUAGGCGGGGUAACGGCCCACCUAGUCUUCGAUGGAUAGGGGUUCUGAGAGGAAGGUCCCCCACAUUGGAACUGAGACACGGUCCAAACUCCUACGGGAGGCAGCAGUGAGGAAUAUUGGUCAAUGGGCGCAGGCCUGAACCAGCCAAGUAGCGUGAAGGAUGACUGCCCUAUGGGUUGUAAACUUCUUUUAUAAAGGAAUAAAGUCGGGUAUGUAUACCCGUUUGCAUGUACUUUAUGAAUAAGGAUCGGCUAACUCCGUGCCAGCAGCCGCGGUAAUACGGAGGAUCCGAGCGUUAUCCGGAUUUAUUGGGUUUAAAGGGAGCGUAGAUGGAUGUUUAAGUCAGUUGUGAAAGUUUGCGGCUCAACCGUAAAAUUGCAGUUGAUACUGGAUAUCUUGAGUGCAGUUGAGGCA
rnacentral:rRNA from 1 species